UGUUCUUCUUCACUGAUCUCAAACAAUGGCAUCGCCGACGUCGGCGACUUAUGAGAAUCAGGCUUUAUUAAAUAUUACUAAUUGUGGUUGCACGUUUCAUCUCAGCUAUCCUUAAUACUGGGCGAUUACUUUUUUAUACAAAAAUAUAAUGAGUUCAAUCACCGUGACCGUGUACAAAUUAACAUAAACUCAAAACAAAAACAUAAUACAAUGACUUUUGUUUAGUGUCCAGAGUAUCAUAUCUUCGUAGAAUAUGAUCAGGCUGUAAAAACACCAUGUUCCAGCGAACGUCGGAUAAAUAACAAGACGUAUCAUUGGUCGAAACGUGUCAUAAGGCAGGAGAAAGCUAGACAUUUAUACUGGCAAUGAUUCUGGGAACAAAUGCUGUCUGAUAUAUUAAAAAUUAUGGCUCAAAGUUCAGACGCAUACAAAUAAUUUUCUGACGAUUAAACGGAUUUACACAUUGUACUUCGAUAGUUUGGUUGAAUAAUUUACCAGGAAUAUAACGCAUUCGUAGAAGGGAAGGUCACGUCAUGUGAUGAGUAUCAUAUCUUCGUAGAAUAUGAUCAGGCUGUAAAAACACCAUGUUCCAGUGAAUGUCGGAUAGAUAACAAGACCGCGUAUCAUCGGUCGAAACAUGUCAUAAGGCUGCAGGAGAAAGCUAGAAAUUUAUACUGGCAAUGAUUCUGGGAAUAAAUGCUGUCUGAUAUAUUAAAAAUUAUGGCUCAAAGUAAGGACGCAUACAAAUAAUUUUCUGACGAUUGAACGGAUUUACACAUUGUAAUUCGAUAGUUUAGUUGAAUAAUUUACCAGGAAUAUAACGCAUUCGUAGAAGGGAAGGUCACGUCAUGUGAAUCUUCAUACAAACGGAAACCUCUCAACAAGGUUUAUAACGAAGAUUUACAAUUACAGUGUACGAAGGAUUCACUCUGAAAUUGCA